AGAGUUUGAUCCUGGCUCAGAACGAACGCUGGCGGCAGGCUUAACACAUGCAAGUCGAACGAUGUAGCAAUACAUAGUGGCGCACGGGUGAGUAACGCGUGGGAAUAUACCUUAUAGUGGGGAAUAACUUUGGGAAACUAAAGCUAAUACCGCAUACGCCCGAGAGGGGAAAGAUUUAUCGCUAUAAGAUUAGCCCGCGUGAGAUUAGGUAGUUGGUGGGGUAAUGGCCUACCAAGCCUACGAUCUCUAGCUGGUCUGAGAGGAUGAUCAGCCACACUGGAACUGAGACACGGUCCAGACUCCUACGGGAGGCAGCAGUGGGGAAUAUUGGGCAAUGGAGGAAACUCUGACCCAGCCAUGCCGCGUAAAUGAUGAAGGCCUUAGGGUUGUAAAGUUCUUUCGCCGAUGAAGAUAAUGACGGUAGUCGGAGAAGAAGCCCCGGCUAACUUCGUGCCAGCAGCCGCGGUAAUACGAAGGGGGCUAGCGUUGUUCGGAAUUACUGGGCGUAAAGCGAGCGUAGGUUGCUCGAUAAGUCAGUGGUGAAAGCCCAGAGCUCAACUCUGGAACUGCCAUUGAAACUGUCGAGCUGGAAUCUCAGAGGGGGUAGCGGAAUUCCAAAUGUAGGGGUGAAAUCCGUAGAUAUUUGGAGGAACACCGGUGGCGAAGGCGGCUACCUGGAUGAGUAUUGACACUGAGGCUCGAAAGCGUGGGGAUCAAACAGGAUUAGAUACCCCGGUAGUCC
rnacentral:rRNA from 1 species